ACGAAAUACUAUUUUUCAUUCGGUUAUAGUGCCGUAAGCACGCUAAAUUUCCAAAAGAGGUUAAAAUAAAACAUCGUCAACAUGAAAUUUCUUGCUUUAGUAUUUUUGUUGGCAACAUUACUUUAUAUGUGCUACGCAGCCGGUUUCGGAAACGAUGCUACCGCUAACUUCUGUCCUAAUACUCCAGAGGAGCUUGCCAAGAUUGACUUUACCCAGUACAGAGUCAUAAGGCGACCUGGAGAAUCAAAAGAAGAUUUCGCCGAACGUUGCAAGCCUUUGAUCUAUUGAAAUAAAUAAAAUUCGACACUAUA